AAAUUUCCUUUUGUCAGGCACCGCUAGUUCACAUGUGAACCUGAGGCUUGCCUGCGAAAAUUUAUUUUAUUGUGAAGAUACUACGGUCUAAUUUUGUUUGCAAUGUUCUGAGACUAUACGACCAUUUAAAUUCGCUUUCAAAUGACGUAUAAACCGUCCAUAUGGAGUGAGUGGAAGCAUCGCUAUGCCUCUGCGAAGUUAGUCGACUUUUUCGUUGGUGUGUGUUGGCUCGUACUGUGCGGUCAGUGACAUAAAAUAUAAUUAUAAACCGGUUUUAGUGUUUGUUAUUGAGUGUUUUUGUGUGGAUUUCGAGAAAAUCAAGAUGAGUUGGAAUCCUUUUUCUGACGCCCCAUCAUCAUUUAUUGACCUCCUCCAUGAAGAAAACGAUGAGUUGUCGGAAGAUGACAAUGAGGAAUACAUGCUACAUUCAGGGUCCUAAUUAUGAGGAUAGCGUUCUGAAUUUUCACGCAAGUAUAAAUAACUCGGGCCAUGUUGGUUUUGUACUAUAUGGUUUUGGGUAAUUUGAAAUGACUCGACUUGCACGUUUGGUGUAGAGAUUUUAUGGUGUGACCUUAUCUGGUUUCUGGGUGUGUAAAGUCUAUCUAGCUUGGUUCCAUGUCUGAAAAAAAGCGAGAAAAAAUGUAAACACCAAGCAAAACUCGGCCACCCAGGUGCCAUUAUUUAUACAUAUGGUGUGGUGUGUUGUGAUUGUAAUUGUUCUGGUUUUUGGGGGUGCAAAGUCGAUCUUGCUUGGUUCCAUGUCUGAAAAAAGCGAGAAAAAACGUAAACGCCAAGCAA